CAUUCUGUUUGUCCUUAGCCGUACACUGUAGCUAGCUAGGAAGUUUAUGUCAUGAUCAAAUACUACAUGAUAUGCACGUCAAACCAUGAAAAUAGUGUUAGAACGAUUUAAAAAGAAAUGGAUAGUAACACUAUAACUCCAUUAAAUAACGACAGUAGACGCUGUAUUUUCUUUAAUGCAGAUUCUGAUGACUAUCGAUGUGUGGUGAUUCUAAGAGUGAAGCGAGCCACAGGGACCUUCUCACUAAUAGGAUGCUUUUUUAUGCUGUUCAUAAUCUGGCUACUGCGUAGAUAUCACUCCUUGGCCCAGAAGAUGAUCUGCAGUCUGACAGUAGUGGCCUUCUUUGAUAGUGUUGCCUACGUCAUGGGUGAUCCCCAUCCAGACAGCAGUCUCUGUAACCUCCAGGCUUGGUGGCUUACUUUUUUUGACUGGAGUGCCUUGGCUUGGGUGUGCCUGAUCACAGUGAACCUCUACCUGAACCUGGUCAGAGAGACCAGUACCAGCCGUUAUGAAUUACUGUACCACCUGAUGGCCUGGGGGGUGCCCCUGGUCAUGGCCUCCCUGCCCUUGUUAAAUGGUUACUAUGGACCUGCUGGAGCCUGGUGCUGGAUCACAGACGACCACGUAUCCUGGAGGUUUGGGAUAUGGUACAUCCCGCUCUUCACCCUCAUCUUCCUCAUGACCUGCUGCUACGUCAGAAUCAUCUACGUGGCCAAUGAGAGAAUGCAGUCCUGGAUCGGAACGUUCCACCCUGAGAGAGAAAGGAGAAAGGUGUCCUUGGCUGAGGAGAUCAAACCGUUAAAGUGGUAUCCAUCCGUUUAUCUUCUGGUAUCUCUGUUCCCCCUAAUCAACAGGCUCCAUAAUGCAUUCUACCCCCAGGAUCCUCUCUUCUCCCUCACCCUGCUUCACGUCCUCUCCGCCCCUCUUCAUGGCCUGGCCAAUGCUUUCGUCUUCGGGCUGGACAGAGAAACGUGGAGCCAGCUGAGUCCUACUGGCAUACAGUUGGCGCUGCGGUCUCGGCUGUGUGACAGGACGCGUAUCGGGGAGUACCGUCCUGGGGCGGUGCGAUACACACAGGCUGACCUCAUCAGUGACGAUGACGACGAUGACACCAAUGUCCUCUUCUUCUCCCCGGACAUGACCCUGAAAGACAGGGGACCCUAAGAAAAAGACAGACAGAGGGAGAGAGAGGCACUGAGAGGGAUGGAAGGAGAGAGAGAGAGAGACGUAGAGACAAAAAUAAUAAAAAAUGAAUAGAUUUAUAUAGAUA